rnacentral:rRNA from 1 species
CAAAGGCUUGGUCCUGACUUUACUGUCUACUUUAACUAAACUUACACAUGCAAGUAUCCGCCCCCCUGUGAGAAUGCCCACAACCCCCUGCUUGGGGACUAGGAGCCGGUAUCAGGCACAAGCCCAGCUAGCCCACGACGCCUUGCUUAGCCACACCCUCAAGGGAACUCAGCAGUGAUAAAUAUUAAGCCAUAAGUGAAAACUUGACUUAGUUAAGGUUAAGAGGGCCGGUAAAACUCGUGCCAGCCACCGCGGUUAUACGAGAGGCCCAAGUUGACAAACAACGGCGUAAAGAGUGGUUAGGGGAUUUACUAAACUAGAGCCGAACGCUUUCAAAGCUGUUAUACGCAUCCGAAAGUAUGAAACCCAAUUACGAAAGUAGCUCUACACAUCCUGAACCCACGAAAGCUAAGAAACAAACUGGGAUUAGAUACCCCACUAUGCUUAGCCCUAAACAUCGAUUGCACUAUACACUCCAUAUCCGCCCGGGGAUUAUGAACAUCAGUUUAAAACCCAAAGGACUUGGCGGUGCUUAACAUCCACCUAGAGGAGCCUGUUCUAGAACCGAUAACCCCCGUUAAACCUCACCCUCUCUUGUUUUAUCCGCCUAUAUACCACCGUCGUCAGCUUACCCUGUGAAGGCUUUACAGUAAGCAAAAUUGGCACAGCCCAAAACGUCAGGUCGAGGUGUAGUGAAUGAGGGGGGAAGAAAUGGGCUACAUUUGCUAGACAUAGCAAACACGAAUGUUGCAUUGAAACAUACAACUGAAGGAGGAUUUAGCAGUAAGCAGGAAAUAGAGCGUCCCGCUGAAACUGGCCCUAAAGCGCGCACACACCGCCCGUCACCCUCCCCAAGCCACCCCCCAAACUAAACUAAUUAAAACCCAACAACUCGCGAAGGGGAGGAAAGUCGUAACAUGGUAAGUGUACCGGAAGGUGCGCUUGGAAAAAU